GACGGAGGAGGCAAGCGUUAUCCGGAAUUAUUGGGCGUAAAGCGUCCGUAGGUGGUUAUUCAAGUCUUUUGUUAAAUAGUGGAGCUCAACUCCAUAGAGGCGGAAGAAAACUGAGUAACUUGAGUGCGGUAGGGGUAGAGGGAAUUCCACGUGUAGCAGUGAAAUGCGUAGAGAUGUGGAGGAAUACCGAUGGCGAAGGCAGCCCCCCUGGGAUAACACUGACGCUCAUGCACGAAAGCGUGGGGAGCAAACAGG
rnacentral:rRNA from 1 species